rnacentral:misc_RNA from 1 species
AAGUCGUAACAAGGUUUCCGUAGGUGAACCUGCGGAAGGAUCAUUACCGAGUUCAUGCCCUUCGGGGUAGAUCUCCCACCCUUUGUAUACUAUACCUUUGUUGCUUUGGCGGGCCGCCUAGCUACUGGCUUCGGCUGGUAAGUGCCCGCCAGAGAACCCAAAACCCUGCAUUAUUAGUGUCGUCUGAGUAAAAUAUUUAAUAUUUAAAACUUUCAACAACGGAUCUCUUGGCUCUG